GGAAAGUAAAAAGUCGUAACAAGGUUUCCGUAGGUGAACCUGCGGAAGGAUCAUUGAAUAUGCAAACCACAACACGCACUCUUUAUUUGUGUACCGACGUUAAGUCACACACGCAAGUGUGUGCUUACUAACCUACACACCAUUGUCCAACCAAUGUCAAAACAAACUCUGAAGCUUUGGCUGCUGUUAACCGGCAGUUUUAACCAAGAACAACUCUCAACAACGGAUAUCUUGGCUCUCGCAACGAUGAAGAACGCAGCGAAAUGCGAUACGUAGUGUGAAUUGCAGAAUUCCGUGAACCAUCGAAUCUUUGAACGCAUAUUGCGCUCGACUCCUCGGAGAAGAGCAUGUCUGCCUCAGCGUCGGUUUUCACCCUCAACCCUCUUAUUUUCACAGUAAGCUUGCUGUGUUUGCUCAAACCAGCAUAUGGGUUGGAUCUGGCUUUCCCAACGCAUGCAAUUGUGUUGGGUUGGCUGAAGCAUAGAGGCUUAAACUGGGACCCGUUUCGGGCUCAACUGGAUAGGUAGCAACACCCUCGGGUGCCUACACGAAGUUGAGUCUGUGGACCUGGUUAGGAGCCAAGCAGGAAACACGUCUUUGGCGUGUAUCAUGGGUUCGACCUGAGCUCAGGCAAGGCUACCCGCUGAACUUAAGCAUAUCAAUA
rnacentral:rRNA from 1 species